UCGUCUGCGGUCUCCUCUAGACCUUACCACUAUAUUUUAUAGUGCACGUAUAAAUCUCUACAGUUACUACUAAAUACUCUUGGUAUAACAACUUUUUUUUUACUUUUUUCCAAACUUAACUAAGUACCAUUCAAGUUUUUUUAUUUUAUUAAAUUUAUAUUCAGCCGAUUAACAUAAUAUGUUAAAAUUUCACGACACCUACAAAAUGAGUUUUUUUUUGGAACGAUUUUUUUUUUUUUACUAUGAAAAUUGUACAGAAACUAAUUCAACAAGCACACAGAAAGGUUCGUUAAAAUGUUGGACGCAGUACCCCUCAGAUGAUGCAUGAGUGAGAUAAACGGUUAAUGUCUUGGGAUAUCACUGUUAAACGCUUUGGUGCCGGAAGUGAUUCUAUCAACAAGUAGGGGCGGAUGGACCUCUGACCUAUUGUUUUACUGAAUAGAACAUAAUCACGGUAUCACUACCAGUUCAAUCGUUUUGUUAUAUACAUACAUUUUGCCAGUUUUUUUUUCAAAAAUUAGAUCUGCCUUCCCGAUUUCGAGUUUUACAGAUGAGACCUUAUCAAAACAUGGGACAGUAGACGUUCUCCAGGCCAGCUCGACCGAUACAAGGUUAUUAAGACAUUAUAUCGAUAGUUGUGCAACAAAACGUUUUUUUUUUUUUUUUACUGACAAACUACUGUGUUGAUCUCACUGUAUUUGAAUGCGAAGGAAAUUCUAAUUAAAUAUUACCAUUGAAAUAAAAACAUUGAAGCUUUAUUUAACAUUUACGUCUAAAUAAAAAGGUCAAAAUGUUUUAUCAAUCCUCGUCCUUGCUGGUCGCACCUCAGGCUAUAUUUAUCAACCUUCUUGACUACCGGCCAUUAACUCUCCGGAGGCAAUAGCAUCAUAAGAUUCUCGUCCGAGGGAAAAUUUAAACGGUCAUAAAUUAUCCGGAAGGCGUUUACUAACAGCCGCUGAUGGUGUUGCCGCUACGCACAACAGCUAUUGCUACUACAGACUACUACUAUACAAUACUACUGACCUAUACCAUAAUAUUCUCUACUUCAUAAACAUAUAGGUGUCUUUCAAGAGUCGCGAUUCAACCGGUUGCAGGCUGACUCCAGGAGGUAUUAUUUUUUUGAGCAUUUCUCAAACCAGCACAUUGUUCGUGAUUUGUUAUUAUUUAUUUUUCGACAUCGGCGAUGAAAGAAAAUCCAUUUGGAGAGCAGAAAGAGUGUGUGCUGCUUAGGGGUCGGCUAUUGCAUAAUAUCUGUUGAGAGGGAGAAUAUGUCCGCACCCUCACGUCGCACAGACAAAAAAUCAUUAUUCGAUGAUACCGUGCUUACUUGUAAGACUUAGCCGAACAUUAGUAUAGAAACAGAUUUGCCCACGUUAAGUCCGCAUGGGGUCGUUUUUUUUUCUCUUAUAAGACCAAAAGGAGAAUUUAUUCUGUGCGCUGGGACGGUCUCUCUCUCAUGAGCAGAUCUUUUUAUCAUAAAUACGGGUACGUGUAACAGUAUAUUAUUAUGUUAUUAUUAUUGCUCUCAAAUAUCCAAAAAGGUAAUCAGGGUGGAACACUGGCCUGCAGAGUUUAGACGUGCGUGGUCACACGAUAGGCACCCGACUCUGUCGGCACUCGCAUAAGACAAUUGUUAACAAUUAUUAUAGAUCGAAGAUUUAUUUAAGUGACCAUUUAAAAAAUGUGUGCAUUUGGAAAUAUUGAUAAUA